UACGAAGGGGGCUAGCGUUGCUCGGAAUCACUGGGCGUAAAGGGCGCGUAGGCGGCUGAUUUAGUCGAGGGUGAAAGCCCGUGGCUCAACCACGGAAUGGCCUUCGACACUGGUUGGCUUGAGACCGGAAGAGGACAGCGGAACUGCGAGUGUAGAGGUGAAAUUCGUAGAUAUUCGCAAGAACACCAGUGGCGAAGGCGGCUGUCUGGUCCGGUUCUGACGCUGAGGCGCGAAAGCGUGGGGAGCAAACAGG
rnacentral:rRNA from 1 species